AUUGUUUCUCGGCCUUUUGGCUAAGAUCAAGUGUAGUAUCUAAUACAAGAAAGCAUAUUGGAGCAAGGAUAGUACAUACCUGUAAUUUCACCACUCUUUUUUAUUUUUUUGAGACAGAGUCUCUGCAGUCCAGGCUGGCCUCAAACUGUGGCAAUCCUCUUGCCUCAGCCUCCCAAGUGCUGGGAUUACAGGUGUGCACCA
rnacentral:snRNA from 1 species